GUAUUUCUUAGCUAAAAUUUUUGCAAAUCUUCUACUUGAAACCUAUCAACCGGCUGAUCUUGCCGGAGUCUUUUUAGAGAAUAUUCAUCUUGAGGUGAGCUUCCCACUUAGAUGCUUUCAGCGGUACUCUUCUCCAUACAUAGCUACCCAGCGUUUCCUAUAGGUGUAAGAACUGGUACACCAGUGGUAUGUUCUUCCAAGUCCUCUCGUAUUAUGGAAAAAUUCUCUCAAUAUUCUAUCGCUAAUAGCAGAUAUGGACCAAACUGUCUCUUUUUUAAUUUUUAAAACUUCCGACGAAUUCGUCGGAAGAAGUUGAGCUCAGAACAAACCCAACUCGUGUUUCGCUUUAAUGGGCGAACAGCCCAACCCUUGGGACGUACUACCGCCCCAGGUUGCGAAAAGUCGACAUCGAGGUGCCAAACCUUCCCGUCGAUGUGAACUCUUGGGGAAGAUGAGCCUGUUAUCCCCGGAGUAACUUUUAUCUUUUGUGCGACGGCCCUUCCACAAGGUAUACCGUCGGAUCAUUAAGACCGGCUUUCGCCUCUGCUCGACUUAUCAGUCUUGCAGUCAAGCUUCCUUUUGCCUUUAUACUCAAAAACUGAUUUCCGUCCAGUUUGAGGAAACCUUUGUGAACCUCCGUUACUUUUUAGGAGGUUUUCGCCCCAAAAAAACUGCCCACCUGACACUGUCAAAUGUCCUGUUGAAAGGAAACACUUUUAGAAAUCUAGUUGUUCAAGAGUGGUCUCUCACAAAUGGCUCAAUUAAAUCCGCAAACUUAAUUUCUUAGCCUCCCACCUAAACUGCGCAAAAACAACUGGAAGCCAAUAUCAAGAUACAGUCAAGCUUCCGGGGUCUUUCUGUCUUACUAUUAGAAGUUCGCAUCUUCACGAACAUGUCUAUUUCACCGAGCCUCUCUCCGAGACAGUACUCUUUUGAUUACGCCUUUCGUGCGGGUCACAACUUACGUGACAAGGAAUUUCGCUACCUUAGGACCGUCAGAGUUACGGCCGCCGUUCACCGGGGCUUCAGUUAUUAGCAUUUAACUAAUUCCUUUAACCUUACGGCACUGGGCAGGCGUCAGCUCCCAUACAUUGUCUUACGACUUCGCGGAAACUUAUGUUUUUGAUAAACAGUUCAAAGAGUCAUUUCACUGCGACCUCUAUUUCUAGAGGUACCCCUUCUCCCGAAGUUACGGGGCUAUUUUGCCGAGUUCCUUAGAGAGAGUUCUCUCGCGCCCCUGAGUAUACUCAACUUACCUACCUGUGUUGGUUUAAGGUACAGGUUAUUUAAAUUUUAAGGUGUCCCAAACUUUUCUUGGAAGUUUGACAAAACUCUCGUNNNNNNNNNNUUUUUUUUUAACUAUAUGUUAGACAAUUCCCAUUACAACCAUUUAUAAUUUUUCAGGUGUUGCCUUCUUCGUCAUUUGUCACCAAAUUUAAACAAGUACAGGAAUAUUCGCCUGUUUUCCAUCGACUACGCCUUUCGGCCUUAUCUUAGGUCCUGACUAACCCUCUAAGGACGAACCUUGUAGAGGAAACCUUAGGCUUUCGGGGCAUUGGAUUCUCACCAAUGUUUUCGUUACUCAAGCCGACAUUCUCACUUCUGUUUGAUCCAAUCUCUUUUUCAACGAGUCUUCACCUCAAACAGAACGCUCCCCUACCGAGACUUUUAUUUUAAGUCUCUCAUAGCUUCGGCAAAUAGCUUAGUCCCGUACAUUUUCGGUGCAUCUACGCUGUUUUACCAGUGAGCUAUUACGCAUUCUUUCAAGGAUAGCUGCUUCUAAGCGCACCUUCUGGUUGUUUUUGCGUCGAAACUUCCUUUCCCACUUAGCUAUUAUUUAGGGGCCUUAGCUGAUGAUCUGGGCUGUUUCCCUUUCGACUUUGGAGCUUAUCCCCCAAAGUCUCACCAAUUCUCGGCAGAUUUUUAUUAAGUAUUUGGAGUUUGCGACAGUUAAGUACCAUUUUAUUGGCCCGUACCGAAACAGUGCUCUACCUCUUAAUAGUGCAUCGACAAUUGCUGCGCCUAAACGCAUUUCGGGGAGAACCAGCUAGCUCCGAGUUCGAUUAGCAUUUCACCGCUAACCACAACUCAUCCGUCGAUUUUUCAACAUCGGUCGGUUCGGACAUCCACGAAGUCUUACCUUAGUUUCUUCCUGGUCAUGGUUAGAUCACUCGGGUUCGGGUCUAUAACUUAUGACAUUAUUUAACGCCUUAUUUAGACUUGUUUUCACUUUGGCUACAGAAAGUUUCUUUAACCAUGCCAAAAAUUAUAAGUCGCCGGCUCAUUCUUCAACAGGCAUGCGGUCAAUAAAUACUAUCUCCCACGGAUUGAUUGCUUUAGGUUUCAUAAUCUAUUUCACUCCCCUCUAGGGGUUUUUUUUCACCUUUCCCUCACGGUACUUUUCGCUAUCAGUGACUCAAGAGUAUUUAGUCUUACGAGGUGGUCCUCGUUGAUUCACAAGGGAUUUCACGUGUCCCAAGCUACUCGGGAUGUUGUUCUUGAAGAUAGAAAACUGGACUUUCACCAUCUAUGGUGCAGGUUUCAGCUGCUUAAACUCUCUUUUUUGUUUGAACUUCCCACAACCCUGAAUUAAUCAGUUUAGACUAAUUCCGUUUCGCUCGCCGCUACUUAGGAAAUCGCGUUUGCUUUUUUUUCCUUUAGUUACUAAGAUGUUUCAGUUCACUAAGUUAUUUCUUAUUGAUUUAUGAAUUUUUUCAGUAGUGUUAAAGAUUGCUCUAUAUAGGGAACUUCUAGAUCAAUAUUUUUUUCCAACUUUCUAGAAAUUAUCGCAGGUUUACGCGCCCUUCAUCAUCUUUGAGUCCUUAGGUAUUCACCUAAAGCAUUUACU
rnacentral:rRNA from 1 species